CAGGACCUGCUGAACCUGGGGCCCUAUAGGAGAGCACUGAUGGCCCACCCCUGAUUGUGGCCCUGGUCUUCAUGUCUGCAUCAGCCUCAGCCAUCUCAAGACCACAACAGGAACAUAGCCAAGUCAGAGAAGGAAGACCAAAAGCACCAGGGCCCUUCAUAUUAUUAAGCUGCUAAAUUAACUAAUCUUGGAAACUUCUAGACUCUACAAUUCUUGUUGUAUGAGAAAUCAUCUACUACAUAAAAUUCUGGUUUCAUACUUGGCCAUUCCUGCUUAACGGAGCUAACAAAGAAAUUUAAGAGUGGAUUGACAAUUAUUCUCUGGACUUUUUGGUAACCAAGAACUUCUAGCAACUAACCCUGGCAUGACCACCAGAAUCUGCAGGGCUGAGAGAAGAAAGAAAGGCAAAAGUGGAUGAAUGCAGCUGAAGAUGCUGUGGAACUCCUAUCACAUUCCAAGUGCUGUGUUGAUAUCUGGAGAUAUAGACAAGAUCGAAGCAGAUGCAGUCUUUCACAUGAAUAUUUGAAUCAGGCAUUAAUGGAAUGGCUUCAAUAAUACAGUAAAAUUAAGAUAUUCAAACAAGCAGGAUGCAGGUGAUGGGUAUUGGCCUCAGCUUUAGAGACCAGAGGUUAAAUCUCAGUGCUGCCUGCCACAAAACGAUCCAUGUAAGUCAAUAAACAAUGCUUUUUAAAAUAUUAUUAUAAAG
rnacentral:lncRNA from 1 species